rnacentral:rRNA from 1 species
GACGAACGCUGGCGGCGUGCCUAAUACAUGCAAGUCGAACGCAGUUGGGACGGGUGAGUAACACGUGGGUAACCUCCCAUCAGAGGGAAUAACACUUGGCAACAGGUGCUAAACCGAUACUGAUGGAUGGUCCCGCGGUGCAUUAGCUAGUUGGUGAGGUAACGGCUUACCAAGGCAACGAUGCAUAGCCGACCGGAGAGGGUGAUAGGCCACACGGGGAAUGAGACACGGCCCAGACUCCUACGGGAGGCAGCAGUAGGGAAUAGUCGGCAAUGGUCGAAAGUCUGAUCGAGCAACGCCGCGGGAGUGAAGAAGGUUUUCGGAUCGGAAAACUCUUUUGUUAGAGAAGCGUUAUCUAACCAGAAAGCCACGGCUAACUACGUGCCAGCAGCCGCGGUAAUAC